GUAUAUUGGGCAGACUAAUCACAGCGAGCAGCUUGUGUAUGGCAGUUAUAUGUAUAGAAAAUAACACUCUUCUGUUUAUUCUGUGGACAAAUCUGAAUGAAAGUGUUUCACAUAAUCUUACAAAAUGUCGAUGUCCAAAUCCAAAAUAAUCAAUAUUUCUUAACUGACGAGGGUACCUGUUUGUGACGUCACAGAAGUUUAGCCAGCAGCCUUUGAACUCGGAAGUAUUGACAAGAUCAUGACGGAUUAGUGUAUUAACGAGGACCAUCCCCGGUCUAUUAUCUGACAAAUACCCGUUAGAAAGCCUCACCUUUAUUUACACCACCGACCGUGCUUGAGAUGAACAGGCACUGCUGUUAACAAUCGUAAUAUAGUUACUAGGCUGUAUAUAGUAGUAUACAGACUAUAUAUAGAAACACACAAGUCAACGCUGGGUCAAACCGGACUGGACAUCGCUUGGGGCAGACGGAUGUUGUUGGGGCAAGUUGCCGUGUAUUUUUGUUUAUAAUUUGGGCUUUUGGUACCUCUUACAUGUACGUCAUUUCUAUGAUGUGAGUGAAUAAAAUGAAAAUGAAAUUUACAAGAAACCCUUCGUGACGCUUUAUUAAUAAGUUCAUGUUUCUAAGUAGUUAUGAACUACUUAGUAUCUUGGGAAUUUUAAGUGUCAGCGUUGAAAAUAGGAUUGUUGCAGUGAUUAACGCAAUAAAUAAACAAGAAAAAUUGAAAUGCCGGAAUUAAUUUCUUUUAAUGGCAUUUAGAGAAACAAAUAUCUCGUGACGAUGUACCUGCAAAUGAUUCAUUGUUAUAAUUAUCACCACAACUAGUCAACAAUUAUAGUAAUGAGAAUACCAAACCCUCCGAUGUGUAACCCGGAAGUUGUUAACUCCAAGAUUGAACAAAUUCUUAGCUGUUGCGUGAUUGGUCAAAUUGAUGGGUGAAAUUAUUUGGAAUUGAAGGAAAUAUUACAAAAGUUUGCAUGAAUUGUCCGGAUGAGAAAUUAUUGCAUAAAAUCCAAAAAGAACAAAAAACGGCUGAGAAAAUUACUAUAGUAGGGAUAUAUUUGAAAUGAAGGGUGCAAUACGCAAGUUUCGAGAUGUGUACGAGUUAUUUCCCUUUUGGGGAUCUCUCGUACAUACUUAGGCGCGAAAAAAAAAAUUAUGCGGGGUGGGACAAAUGCUCAUCACUGCAGAAGUGUACAGUGUAUAUACAUGUACAUUGUAAGUUUCUCAUAUGACGUUUUCAUCACCCAAAUUCAAAUGAAACACAAAACAAGUAAAUGAGAAGUAUUCAGGGAGUCGAUAAACACUUGAAUUGUUUAUUAUAUCACGUUAUUUCAUUGCUCAUAUAUAUCAUGUCUAGGUUGUUAGCAGCAAAUACAACAUUGUUUUUAUGUUUUCGUUUUAGGAAAUAUUUCUUUUGAUGGUAUUUUAUAUUUCUAAUAUUUACAUCUUUAAAUAGAAGUAGCAUUUCAUUAUCCUACGGCCGAUCUAUUUGUGGUGGUAUUAGAAAGUGCGCAUGGGGAAAUCAGAAUUUUUUCUAGCUCACCUGAGCUGAAACCUCAAAUGACCUUUUCUGAUCGCCUGUUCUCCGUCGUCUGUCUGUCUAUAAACUUUUUACAUUUUCGACUUCUUCUACAGAACUACUGAGCCAAUUUCAACCAAACCUGGCAAAAAGCAUCCUUGGGUGAAUGGCUUUCAAGUUUGUUCAAAUGAAGAGCCAUGCCAGAUUCAAAGAGAAGAUAAUCACCAAAAUGCAAAAAUAAGGAGAGGGCUACAACUCCUUAGGAUCUCCGUAUUGGUGCAAAUGCGGGAGUGAUUCACUCCCGCAACAUUUGCGCUCAUUCUAAACAUUUCCUGACUUUCUUUACGUAAAUAAAAUGAUAUUCUAUGUUUCUUAGUCAAUAUAUAAAUUUACAACCUGCAACUUAAGAUUUGUGAGGCUCUAUUCUACCGUUUUCAACAAUUUCGAUAAAUUCCAAUUUCUCGAUUCAUAUUUGUGCGCCAUGUUUGAUGUACUGAAGUUUCAACUUCCGAUUGUCAAGUCAUUUGCAUAUGCCAUAUAAGGUAGUAUUUACAUCAAUGGAAAAGUAUGGAGGCGAAAGCUAUUUCGUCGGUAUUGAAAAGGUUUGAAUUUAAUAUCAAGUUAAAAACCGAACAGCAGAGUGUAAAUUCUUUCUGCAACAAUAUGAUUUUCCUUUCUUUGUCGAAGUGGCUCGAGUAACUACAUUUUCGCGCUGAUUGUCAAUGCUUAGGUUUUUCAUUAGAUCCACCUACGAGAUCUCGCGAUAACAAGCAUGGCGAAGCAGACGAAGAAUUUUGCAUGCUGUACAUUGUAUUUAAUGAAAAACACC